GACAGCAGUAGCCGCGGUAAUACAGAGGGUGCGAGCGUUAAUCGGAUUUACUGGGCGUAAAGCGUGCGUAGGCGGCUUCUUAAGUCGGAUGUGAAAUCCCUGAGCUUAACUUAGGAAUUGCAUUCGAUACUGGGAAGCUAGAGUAUGGGAGAGGAUGGUAGAAUUCCAGGUGUAGCGGUGAAAUGCGUAGAGAUCUGGAGGAAUACCGAUGGCGAAGGCAGCCAUCUGGCCUAAUACUGACGCUGAGGUACGAAAGCAUGGGGAGCAAACAGGAUUAGAUACCCCUGUAGUCCCUGUCUCUUAUAC
rnacentral:rRNA from 1 species